AUGCAGCUCUGAAGCCAGAAAAAAACUUGAGUUCCACUUGGAGAGGCUGAUCCACAGGGACAGAUGCAAUAGGAAGGUGUUCAUGGCCUGCGUCCUGGGAUUCUUAAUGUGUCAUUGUUUCGCAAUGGAACAACAAAACAGAAGCACACAGACAGAAGAAUGGCUGAGGUUGGAAAGACCACUGGAGAACAUCUAGUCCGACCCCAUUGCUCAAGCAGUCACUUAGAGCAUCUUGCAUAGGAUUACAUCCAGAACAGGACCCUGCACUUGCCUCUGUUGAACUUCAUGAAGUUCCUCUCCACACUGCUCUCCAGCCUGUCCAGAUCUUGCUGAAUGACAGCACAGACUUCUGAUGUGUCAGCUG